GCCCGAUAACGUCGGUGUAAACGCCAGGUUCGUGUGAUCCACCGCAAUCGGGGCCCCACGAGGUUAUACCGAUCAUGAUACCCUUGUUAACCAAUGGACCACCAGAAUCACCCUAUAAAAGAUCAAUGAUAUUCAGAAUGGGAGAAUGUGCUGUCAUUGUAUAAAGGUUAGUACACUAAGACACGUAGAAAGACGUGUUAACAUAAGUUUGUGAAUGUAAAUCUUUCAAAUACAUGAAUAUUUUCAGUUAAUUUAAGAAACAAGAGAUCUAAUGAUCGAUAUAAUUAUUUACCAUAUAUGGAACUUCCGUAAUAUUGAUAGGUGCUCCAUCGACGAUUCGAUCUACCGCUGGCAGCUCCUGUCCCCUCGUCUUCGCUACAGAUAUUCGAAAGUCCCGUCAGAAGCACGUCUUUUAAGUUUUAUUCGUCUAUCGUUAUUAUUUAUUUCGUGUACGGGAUAAAGUUAAGACGUUAUUUUAUUGGUGUGCAAGAAUGAAAUAUGUACGUAUGUAUAUAAAAUGACACAAGCUUAUAAAAAGACACGUAUAAAAAGUUUGUAAGUGGAAGUGCUGAAAAUAGGAAUGCUGAUCUGUCUUGUUCGACAUACUGAAAAAUAUAUCCAUAUUCGCAUACUUACAUCCGAGCAGUAAAAGGGAAAUUGCACAGAAAAGAAGUUCGUUCAUAUUGAACGUAGCUUAUUCGUGACUGUUUUUGCUUUAUCCAGCGUAAA